GAUGAACGCUGGCGGCGUGCCUAAUACAUGCAAGUCGAGCGAACAGACGAGGAGCUUGCUCCUCUGACGUUAGCGGCGGACGGGUGAGUAACACGUGGAUAACCUACCUAUAAGACUGGGAUAACUUCGGGAAACCGGAGCUAAUACCGGAUAAUAUAUUGAACCGCAUGGUUCAAUAGUGAAAGACGGUUUUGCUGUCACUCAUAGAUAGAUCCGCGCCGCAUUAGCUAGUUGGUAAGGUAACGGCUUACCAAGGCAACGAUGCGUAGCCGACCUGAGAGGGUGAUCGGCCACACUGGAACUGAGACACGGUCCAGACUCCUACGGGAGGCAGCAGUAGGGAAUCUUCCGCAAAGGGCGAAAGCUUGACGGAGCAACGCCGCGUGAGUGAUGAAGGUCUUCGGAUCGUAAAACUCUGUUAUUAGGGAAGAACAAAUGUGUAAGUAACUAUGCACGUCUUGACGGUACCUAAUCAGAAAGCCACGGCUAACUACGUG
rnacentral:rRNA from 1 species